GGUCAAGCGAACAAGUGCAUGUGGUGGAUGCCUUGGCGAUCACAGGCGAUGAAGGACGCGGUAGCCUGCGAAAAGCUACGGGGAGCUGGCAAACAAGCUUUGAUCCGUAGAUGUCCGAAUGGGGAAACCCACUCCUUUUGGAGUAUCCAUGGCUGAAUACAUAGGCCAUGUGAAGCGAACGCGGUGAACUGAAACAUCUAAGUAACCGCAGGAAAAGAAAUCAACCGAGAUUCCCAAAGUAGUGGCGAGCGAAAUGGGAUGAGCCUUGCACUCUUUAUUUGUAUUGUUAGCCGAACGCUCUGGAAAGUGCGGCCAUAGCAGGUGAUAGCCCUGUAGGCGAAAACAGUAUGAAAGAACUAGGUGUGCGACAAGUAGGGCGGGACACGUGAAAUCCUGUCUGAAGAUGGGGGGACCAUCCUCCAAGGCUAAAUACUCGUGAUCGACCGAUAGUGAACCAGUACCGUGAGGGAAAGGCGAAAAGAACCCCGGGAGGGGAGUGAAAUAGAUCCUGAAACCGCAUGCAUACAAACAGUCGGAGCCUCGUAAGGGGUGACGGCGUACCUUUUGUAUAAUGGGUCAGCGACUUACGUUCAGUAGCAAGCUUAACCGUAUAGGGCAGGCGUAGCGAAAGCGAGUCCGAAUAGGGCGUUCAGUUGCUGGGCGUAGACCCGAAACCAGGUGAUCUAUCCAUGGCCAGGAUGAAGGUGCGGUAACACGUACUGGAGGUCCGAACCCACUAACGUUGAAAAGUUAGGGGAUGAGCUGUGGAUAGGGGUGAAAGGCUAAACAAACCUGGAAAUAGCUGGUUCUCUCCGAAAACUAUUUAGGUAGUGCCUCGUGUCUCACCUUCGGGGGUAGAGCACUGUCAUGGUUGGGGGGUCUAUUGCAGAUUACCCCGCCAUAGCAAACUCCGAAUACCGAAGAGUGCAAUCACGGGAGACAGACAUCGGGUGCUAACGUCCGGUGUCAAGAGGGAAACAACCCAGACCGCCAGCUAAGGUCCCCAAAUAUAGCUAAGUGGGAAACGAAGUGGGAAGGCUAAAACAGUCAGGAGGUUGGCUUAGAAGCAGCCACCCUUUAAAGAAAGCGUAAUAGCUCACUGAUCGAGUCGUCCUGCGCGGAAGAUGUAACGGGGCUAAGCUAUAUACCGAAGCUGCGGAUGCGUGCUUGCACGCAUGGUAGGAGAGCGUUCCGUAAGCCUGCGAAGGUGCCUUGUAAAGGGUGCUGGAGGUAUCGGAAGUGCGAAUGCUGACAUGAGUAGCGAUAAAGGGGGUGAAAGGCCCCCUCGCCGUAAGCCCAAGGUUUCCUACGCAACGUUCAUCGGCGUAGGGUGAGUCGGCCCCUAAGGCGAGGCAGAAAUGCGUAGCUGAUGGGAAGCAGGUCAAUAUUCCUGCACCAUUGUUAGAUGCGAUGGGGGGACGGAUCGCGGAAGGUUGUCCGGGUGUUGGAAGUCCCGGUCGCUGCAUUGGAGAAGGCGCUUAGGCAAAUCCGGGCGCGUAAUUCAAGGGUGUGGCGCGAGCUCCUUAGGGAGCGAAGCAAUUGGAAGUGGUUCCAAGAAAAGCCUCUAAGCUUCAGUCUAACGAUGACCGUACCGCAAACCGACACAGGUGGGCGAGAUGAGUAUUCUAAGGCGCUUGAGAGAACUCGGGAGAAGGAACUCGGCAAAUUGGUACCGUAACUUCGGGAUAAGGUACGCCCUUGUAGCUUGAC
rnacentral:rRNA from 1 species